ACGCUGGCGGCGUGCCUAAUACAUGCAAGUAGAACGCUGAAGGAGGAGCUUGCUUCUCCGGAUGAGUUGCGAACGGGUGAGUAACGCGUAGGUAACCUGCCUGGUAGCGGGGGAUAACUAUUGGAAACGAUAGCUAAUACCGCAUAAUAGUAGAUGUUGCAUGACAUUUGCUUAAAAGGUGCAAUUGCAUCACUACCAGAUGGACCUGCGUUGUAUUAGCUAGUUGGUGGGGUAACGGCUCACCAAGGCGACGAUACAUAGCCGACCUGAGAGGGUGAUCGGCCACACUGGGACUGAGACACGGCCCAGACCCCUACGGGAGGCAGCAGUAGGGAAUCUUCGGCAAUGGACGGAAGUCUGACCGAGCAACGCCGCGUGAGUGAAGAAGGUUUUCGGAUCGUAAAGCUCUGUUGUAAGAGAAGAACGAGUGUGAGAGUGGAAAGUUCACACUGUGACGGUAUCUUACCAGAAAGGGACGGCUAACUACGUGCCAGCAGCCGCGGUAAUACGUAGGUCCCGAGCGUUGUCCGGAUUUAUUGGGCGUAAAGCGAGCGCAGGCGGUUAGAUAAGUCUGAAGUUAAAGGCUGUGGCUUAACCAUAGUACGCUUUGGAAACUGUUUAACUUGAGUGCAAGAGGGGAGAGUGGAAUUCCAUGUGUAGCGGUGAAAUGCGUAGAUAUAUAGAGGAACACCGGUGGCGAAAGCGGCUCUCUGGCUUGUAACUGACGCUGAGGCUCGAAAGCGUGGGGAGCAAACAGGAUUAGAUACCCUGGUAGUCCACGCCGUAAACGAUGAGUGCUAGGUGUUAGACCCUUUCCGGGGUUUAGUGCCGCAGCUAACGCAUUAAGCACUCCGCCUGGGGAGUACGACCGCAAGGUUGAAACUCAAAGGAAUUGACGGGGGCCCGCACA
rnacentral:rRNA from 1 species